GAUGAACGCUGGCGGCGUGCCUAAUACAUGCAAGUCGAGCGAAUGGAUUAAGAGCUUGCUCUUAUGAAGUUAGCGGCGGACGGGUGAGUAAUGCCUAGGAAUCUGCCUGGUAGUGGGGGAUAACGUUCCGAAAGGAACGCUAAUACCGCAUACGUCCUACGGGAGAAAGCGGGGGAACUUCGGACCUCGCGCUAUCAGAUGAGCCUAGGUCGGAUUAGCUAGUUGGUGAGGUAAAGGCUCACCAAGGCGACGAUCCGUAACUGGUCUGAGAGGAUGAUCAGUCACACUUGAUCUGAGACACGGUCCAGACUCCUACGGGAGGCAGCAGGGGGGAAUAUUGGAAAAUGGGCGAAAGCCUGAUCCAGCCAUGCCGCGUGUGUGAAGAAGGUCUUCGGAUUGUAAAGCACUUUAAGUUGGGGGGAAGGGUUGUAGAUUAAUACUCUGCAAUUUUGACGUUACCGACAGAAUAAGCACCGGCUAACUUCGUGCCAGCCGCCGCAGUAA
rnacentral:rRNA from 1 species